GGCAAAUUAUAUUUCUCUUUCCUGUCACCACUUCUGCCUGUGGGCUGGUGUGAUUUCGAGAUGCAUCAAGGGAAACUCCAUGUGAGAAGGGAUGACUCAUUACUGACAGUAGAGAUCGUGGAAGUGUCCAGAGAAGGUGCAAACACUAGAUGGCUUUUGGACAGGACGUACAGAUGUUGUCCUGGAGCAGCUGGAAAAGUUGUCUGAGGAACCACCACUGUAAUUUCCAUAAGUUCUUUCAACUUCUAGUACUAAAGACACUGAUGUAGCUACUGAGUUUAUCAUUGUAUUAGUAUUAAUGGAUAUUAUUGAAUCCCUAAUCGAAAAUAAAGAUGGUGUUGGCUCCCAGGGCUCACAUUCU